rnacentral:rRNA from 1 species
AUUGAACGCUGGCGGCAGGCUUAACACAUGCAAGUCGAGCGGGGUGAUGGUGCUUGCACUAUCACUUAGCGGCGGACGGGUGAGUAAUGCUUAGGAAUCUGCCUAUUAGUGGGGGACAACAUCUCGAAAGGGAUGCUAAUACCGCAUACGUCCUACGGGGGAAAGCAGGGGAUCACUUGUGACCUUGCGCUAAUAGAUGAGCCUAAGUCGGAGUAGCUAGUUGGUGGGGUAAAGGCCUACCAAGGCGACGAUCUGUAGCGGGUCGGAGAGGAUGAUCCGCCACACUGGGACUGAGACACGGCCCAGACUCCUACGGGAGGCAGCAGUGGGGAAUAUUGGAACAUGGGGGGAACCCUGAGCCAGCCAUGCCGCGUGUGUGAAGAAGGCCUUAUGGUUGUAAAGCACUUUAAGCGAGGAGGAGGCUCUUUUGGUUAAUACCCAGAAUGAGUGGACGUUACUCGCAGAAUAAGCACCGGCUAACUCUGUGCCAGCCGCCGCCGUAA